rnacentral:rRNA from 1 species
GACGAACGCUGGCGGCGUGCUUAACACAUGCAAGUCGAACGGAAAGGCCCUGCUUUUGUGGUGUGCUCGAGUGGCGAACGGGUGAGUAACACGUGAGUAACCUGCCCUUGACUUUGGGAUAACUUCAGGAAACUGGGGCUAAUACCGGAUAGGAGCUCCUGCUGCAUGGUGGGGGUUGGAAAGUUUCGGCGGUUGGGGAUGGACUCGCGGCUUAUCAGCUUGUUGGUGGGGUAGUGGCUUACCAAGGCUUUGACGGGUAGCCGGCCUGAGAGGGUGACCGGCGACAUGGGGACUGAGAGACGGCCCAGACGCCUACGGGAGGCAGCAGUGGGGAAUAUUGCACAAUGGGCGGAAGCCUGAUGCAGAAACGCCGCGUGCGGGAUGACGGCCUUCGGGUUGUAAACCGCUUUCGCCUGUGACGAAGCGUGAGUGACGGUAAUGGGUAAAGAAGCACCGGCUAACUACGUG